AACGCUAGCUACAGGCUUAACACAUGCAAGUCGAGGGGCAGCAUUGGAGUAGCAAUACUUCAGAUGGCGACCGGCGCACGGGUGAGUAACACGUAUCCAACCUGCCGCUUACUCGGGGAUAGCCUUUCGAAAGAAAGAUUAAUACCCGAUGGUAUAAAGAGUUCGCAUGUUCUCUUUAUUAAAGAAUUUCGGUAAGCGAUGGGGAUGCGUUCCAUUAGAUCGUUGGCGGGGUAACGGCCCACCAAGUCUACGAUGGAUAGGGGUUCUGAGAGGAAGGUCCCCCACAUUGGAACUGAGACACGGUCCAAACUCCUACGGGAGGCAGCAGUGAGGAAUAUUGGUCAAUGGACGAGAGUCUGAACCAGCCAAGUAGCGUGAAGGAUGACUGCCCUAUGGGUUGUAAACUUCUUUUAUAAGGGAAUAAAGUGAGGGACGUGUCCCUUUUUGUAUGUACCUUAUGAAUAAGGAUCGGCUAACUCCGUGCCAGCAGCCGCGGUAAUACGGAGGAUCCAAGCGUUAUCCGGAUUUAUUGGGUUUAAAGGGAGCGUAGGUUGACAUAUAAGUCAGCUGUGAAAGUUUACGGCUCAACCGUGAAAUUGCAGUUGAUACUGUAUGUCUUGAGUGUACAAGAGGUGGGCGGAAUUCGUGGUGUAGCGGUGAAAUGCUUAGAUAUCACGAAGAACUCCGAUUG
rnacentral:rRNA from 1 species